GGGGGCGACUGGCUUCGACGGGUUGGUUGAACGAGGGGUUGCGUGCCCAGGUCCAGGCACCUGGAUAAACCGUCUGGAAUGAUUCAACUGCCAACACUGACUUGGCGCUGGCUGCGUAAGCUGAGCUAAGCUCGCUUACCGCACCACCGGUGAAGGGAGCCCGUCCGGGGCGCUCCCACCGGAACGAAAAGCCGGACUGGCCGAUGCCGGCGUCCCGACGGCAGAGGCGAGACACCUAGGGAAUAGAGCCCGGGGCGGCCGGUUCGGCGCCGGCCCGGGGCGACGCCAAGAGCCGAGCCUACGCACGUAGGAACCAUUCGGAAUGCCUUCGCGGACGAGGGUUCGAUUCCCUCCGCCUCCACUG
rnacentral:tmRNA from 1 species